rnacentral:rRNA from 1 species
AAACCGCUUAGGGGUUAAGCCCGAUGAACCUGAAUAUCUGAAAUGAGAAAUUCAAUACUAUUUCAAUAAUUUAUUCUAAACAAAUAAAUUGGCGAUGGUAUGCACUUUUCUCAUAAGUAAGACAUUGCGAUCCAUUAGUGUUAUAUCAAAUUUAUUUUGAUGGUUUAUCAAACGGCCUAUUUGAUAUGUUUAUUCUAUCUGUGGUAUAUAUUUUUUAUAUCAUAUGAAUAAUAUCAUAUUAGUGACCUGAUAAACAGCUGAUGGAAUUUCAAAAUAUUCAUGCUUUACACAUUAAUUUGUGCAUCACGAUUUUAUUAUUUAAAUUUUCGUAAAAAAAAAUGAUGAUAAUAAUUUGCAGUGAUGGCAUGUAUAUGAUCAGCAAUGCGAUAGAUUUGGGAUACCUUCGGGACCCGUCUUGAAACACGGACCAAGAAGUCUAACAUGUGUGCGAGUCAUUGGGUAUAUUGUUGAAACCUAAAGGCGAAAUUAAAAUAACUAUUUUUAUGGGAUUACAAAUAAUUUAAUUUAAUUAAUUAUUUCUCCAUCCCGGGGCGUUCUAUAUUAAACAUGUUUUAAGAAAUUAAAUCCUCUGUUUAAGAGCGUACCUUGAGCAUACAUGCUGU